GCAUAGCUCAGUCGGUUAGAGCGUGGUGCUGAUAAUGCCAAGGUUGCAGGUUCAAUUCUUGUAUGGAACAGCAGCA
rnacentral:tRNA from 1 species